UGUAUAAGUUAUAAAGUCUAGCCUGCCCACUGAUUGAUUUAAAGGGCCGCGGUAACUUGCCCGUGCGAAGGUAGCAUAGUCAGUAGUCUUUUAAUUGAAGGCUUGAAUGAAAGGUUGGACGAGGGAUGAGCUGUCUCCUUUAUGUAAUUUGAAUUUAACUUUUGAGUGAAAAGGCUCAAAUUAUCUAGUGGGACGAUAAGACCCUAUAAAACUUUAUAUAAGUUUAAUUUGGCUUACAAUUUGAGUGAAAAGUAGCUUUAUUAGGCUUAUAUUUCGUUGGGGAGAUGUAGAUAUAAUAUGUAACUGUCUAUUUAAUUUAAUAAUUAUAAUUAGUGUGUGAUCCUUCUUUGUGGAUUAAAAGUAUAAGUUACCUUAGGGAUAACAGCGUGAUUUUCUUUGAGAGUUCUUCACAACAAGAGUA
rnacentral:rRNA from 1 species